UAAGAUCCAAUUGUUAAACUAUUUGAACUAUAAAUGAAAAUUAUAUAUAAUAACAACAAUUGUAGUAACGAAAUGUAACCAAAAAAAUAUUUUGAACGUAAAAUAUUCAUACAAGAUAUAUGACUUUUAGCUUCAUUUAGUAAUAUUACUAUUUAUAUUAUCAAGUGUUAAUUCAAAUUAGUAAGAUGUUAGCCAUAUGUUUGCAAUGCAUUACCGUAGAUCUCGAUGUAAAAAACUUUAUUUGCUAAUACAAAGAUUUGAGUAGUUUAAUUUGAAGAUCUAGAAUAUUUCUUAUGUUAAAAAGUAAAUAUUCUUUGUUUUUUUAAAACUUUUUUUACACGGAUUUUAUACUUUUUUCUACAAAGUUCAGAAUUGUCUAAGUCAAAAUAUUAUUACGUAUUUUACAACACUUUUUGGGGCCUCAAAAUUUUUGGGGCCUAAAGCGAAGGCUUUACUAGCCUCACCCUUAAGAUAAGUUGUAUAUUUCUAAGCAAAUAAUCUGUUUGAAGAUUGCAAAGAUGUAGUAAAUGGUAUGAUCUUAAACACAAAAUAGGAAAAAAAUUGAGGAAGUAAAGAAGCAAUUCUUGAAUAAACAAAAGAAAGCAUGGUUCAAUUAUAAAACAUGUAACAUAUGACGAAUAAUUCAAGAGCAAUAGCACACAAAUAUUCAGAAAGCACUGAAAUAUAAAUCUUACUUAUGUAUACAUUAUCCGAAUUCUAGCCAAAUAUGAAACUAUAGCGGCUCUAAUUUCAACAACACAGAACUUCAUUAUCCGAAUUCUAGCCAUAGCAAAGUUUCUUAAUUUUGGACGAGCUUCAUAAACACCAAUUACGGUUUAUAUUUCAACUAGAGAAAUUGAAUUUCAGUCACUAAUAUGCAAUUCUUGAAGAAAACAAAAGAACGUUCAAAAGGGACUAUGUGAAUCUGCAAAAGAGAAAAAAACAUUGCUACCAAUUUAGAACACGUCCCAAUUAAGAUUUACGAUUUAGAGAAUCGGGAUGUCAACAAAAUCAAGAAAAAUUACAGAAAAUUCAGAGAUUCAAUCAAAAUAGAAUAUCCAAAAGUGAGAACAAGACACAAAAAAGAGGCAAGCAAAACCUUCUAGUUUAGCCCCUUCUCAAUCGUAUUUUAAAAGGGUUUUUUUUGAACCCUAAACUCGAAACUGAAAUUUACCAUUAGAAAAGUGGAAACAAGAUGGAGAAUUCCAAGUAUAAUUUUCAAAAUCUUACCCAGAAAAAAACGGCGGUUGCGAGAGAGACGUGUGAAGGAUGAAAUUUGUUUUGGGUUUAGAAGAAAUAGCCUGAUGUCAAGAGAGAGAAAAAAGAGGCGUGUAUUUUCGGUAUUUUUAACUCUGAACGGAAUUAAGACUCAAUUAAAU
rnacentral:lncRNA from 1 species